rnacentral:lncRNA from 1 species
CUGCGUGUGUGUGUGUGUGUUAACAAAUUUUCUGCCUUGCACUUUUGGGAAUACUAAUGCUGUGAAACUGUCAGAGCUACCAGCAUCUCAGCUUGCUAAUGAAUUCCUAGACCUGUAUUCAGAAGAAAGGGAUAAGCAGAUGAGCUGAAAAUCCAGUUUCCAAGGAGACAGCCCUAGAAACAUGUAAGAAAUAUUUAACUAGAUUCAGAGUAAUCCUGUCAUGGUCUGGUGCUGAGCAUCAUCACUCCCUGAGUUCUAGGCUGCCCAGAAGACUGGAACGUUCUUCCCCAUCCCCUACUCAUCAAUGACAAGAAGAGCCUGCGUGACAGUGUUUGCCUUCUGUGAUGUGGCUCCACUCACCAUGUUGGCACCUCCUGCUGGUCAUCUUGGGGAUUAGCUCUGCAGGGCUACAAGACGGAAGAAGAAGAAAGAAGACAUCUUCUUCCACAAUUGUAACCGAAGAAACGAGAAGUUGCUUUUAUGAACCAAUCCAAAUUUGGGCUUAAGUUUGCUUGAGGAAUUGCAGCAACUGGUAUGAAAUUUGGAGGGAAGAAUUUGGAGGAAACACCAAGAUAAUCUGUAUGCACAUGGCUAGACUGCUAGCUACAGUUGCAGCAUCUCUGUAAACAAUUUUCUUAAUAAAGAGCCCACUUAGUUUUAGCA